AGUGAACGCUGGCGGUAGGCCUAACACAUGCAAGUAGAACGGCAGCACAGUAAGAGCUUGCUCUUACGGUUGGCGAGUGGCGGACGGGUGAGGAAUACAUCGGAAUCUACUUUUUCGUGGGGGAUAACGUAGGGAAACUUACGCUAAUACCGCAUACGACCUACGGGUGAAAGCAGGGGAUCUUCGGACCUUGCGCGAUUGAAUGAGCCGAUGUCGGAUUAGCUAGUUGGCAGGGUAAAGGCCCACCAAGGCGACGAUCCGUAGCUGGUCUGAGAGGAUGAUCAGCCACACUGGAACUGAGACACGGUCCAGACUCCUACGGGAGGCAGCAGUGGGGAAUAUUGGACAAUGGGCGCAAGCCUGAUCCAGCCAUACCGCGUGGGUGAAGAAGGCCUUCGGGUUGUAAAGCCCUUUUGUUGGGAAAGAAAAGAAGCAGGUUAAUACCCCGCUGUUCUGACGGUACCCAAAGAAUAAGCACCGGCUAACUUCGUG
rnacentral:rRNA from 1 species